UAGGGAAUAUUGGACAAUGGGGGCAACCCUGAUCCAGCCAUGCCGCGUGAGUGAAGAAGGCCCUCGGGUUGUAAAGCUCUUUUGUCCGGAAAGAAAAGCUUCGGGUUAAUACCCCGGGGUUCUGACGGUACCGGAAGAAUAAGCACCGGCUAACUUCGUGCCAGCAGCCGCGGUAAUACGAAGGGUGCAAGCGUUACUCGGAAUUACUGGGCGUAAAGCGUGCGUAUGUGGUUGUUUAAGUCUGAUGUGAAAGCCCUGGGCUCAACCUGGGAAUGGCAGUUGAAACUGGGCAGCUAGAGUGCGGUAGAGGGUAGUGGAAUUCCCGGUGUAGCAGUGAAAUGCGUAGAGAUCGGGAGGAACAUCGGUGGCGAAGGCGACUGCCUGGACCAGCACUGACACUGAGGCACGAAAGCGUGGGGAGCAAACA
rnacentral:rRNA from 1 species